UCUAGAGCUUUCCUUCCCGUGGAAACAGAUGAAGCUGAGGAGAAAAGCAUAAAAUUAUGAAUGACAAAAGCUGUCAGUAACUAGCUUCCCUUCUCCUUGGGAAAUAAGGGUAAGACUCAGGAAGAAAGCAGCAGGCUCCAAGAAUGUCCCUCUCGAAGAAGAAAGAAGGAAAUCGUCCUGGUGUGAAAAUGUUACUAUUUGUGGCUACAGGCGUAUUUCUGGGUGGAUUUUUAAAAAUCAUCCUUUGCACUGAAUCCACG
rnacentral:lncRNA from 1 species